rnacentral:rRNA from 1 species
GACGAACGCUGGCGGCGUGCUUAACACAUGCAAGUCGAACGGAAAGGCCCUGCUUUUGUGGGGUGCUCGAGUGGCGAACGGGUGAGUAACACGUGAGUAACCUGCCCUUGACUUUGGGAUAACUUCAGGAAACUGGGGCUAAUACCGGAUAGGAGCUCCUGCUGCAUGGUGGGGGUUGGAAAGUUUCGGCGGUUGGGGAUGGACUCGCGGCUUAUCAGCUUGUUGGUGGGGUAGUGGCUUACCAAGGCUUUGACGGGUAGCCGGCCUGAGAGGGUGACCGGCCACAUUGGGACUGAGAUGCGGCCCAGACUCCUACGGGAGGCAGCAGUGGGGAAUAUUGCACAAUGGGCGGAAGCCUGAUGCAGCAACGCCGCGUGCGGGAUGACGGCCUUCGGGGUGUAAACCGCUUUCGCCUGUGACGAAGCGUGAGUGACGGUAAUGGGUAAAGAAGCACCGGCUAACUACGUG